GCCGAGGUGGCGGAAUCGGUAGACGCGCCAGCUUGAGGGGCUGGUGGCCGCAAGGCUGUAGGGGUUCAAGUCCCCUCCUCGGCACCA
rnacentral:tRNA from 2 species